UACGUAGGGGGCAAGCGUUGUCCGGAUUUAUUGGGCGUAAAGAGCGUGUAGGCGGCUUUACAGGUCUGUUGUGAAAACUCGAGGCUCAACCUCGAGACGCCGGUGGAAACCGUAAAGCUAGAGUCCGGAAGAGGAGAGUGGAAUUCCUGGUGUAGCGGUGAAAUGCGCAGAUAUCAGGAGGAACACCCGUGGCGAAAGCGGCUCUCUGGGACGGUACUGACGCUGAGACGCGAAAGCGUGGGGAGCAAACAGG
rnacentral:rRNA from 1 species